AACGAACGCUGGCGGCAUGCCUAACACAUGCAAGUCGAACGAGACCUUCGGGUCUAGUGGCGCACGGGUGCGUAACGCGUGGGAACCUGCCCUUAGGUUCGGAAUAACUCCCCGAAAGGGGUGCUAAUACCGGAUAAUGUCUUCGGACCAAAGAUUUAUCGCCUUUGGAUGGGCCCGCGUUGGAUUAGCUAGUUGGUAGGGUAAAAGCCUACCAAGGCGACGAUCCAUAGCUGGUCUGAGAGGAAGAUCAGCCACACUGAGACUGAGACACGGCCCAGACUACUACGGGGGGCAGCAGUGGGAAAUAUUGGACAAGGAGCGAAAGCCUGAUCCAGCGAUGCCGCGUGAGUGAUGAAGGCCUUAGGGUUGUAAAGCUCUUUUACCCGGGAUGAUAGUGACAGUACCGGGAGAAUGAGCUCCGGCUAACUCCG
rnacentral:rRNA from 1 species